UACGAAGGGGGCUAGGCGUUGCUCGGAAUCACUGGGCGUAAAGCGCACGUAGGCGGAUUGUUAAGUCAGGGGUGAAAUCCUGGAGCUCAACUCCAGAACUGCCUUUGAUACUGGCGAUCUCGAGUCCGGGAGAGGUGAGUGGAACUGCGAGUGUAGAGGUGAAAUUCGUAGAUAUUCGCAAGAACACCAGUGGCGAAGGCGGCUCACUGGCCCGGUACUGACGCUGAGGUGCGAAAGCGUGGGGAGCAA
rnacentral:rRNA from 1 species